rnacentral:rRNA from 1 species
GACGAACGCUGGCGGCGUGCUUAACACAUGCCAGUCGAACGGAAAGGCCUGCUUUCCCUUGUGGAUUGCGGGUACUCGAGUGGCGAACGGGUGAGUAACACGUGAGUGAUCUGCCCCCAACUUGGGUAUAAGCCUGGGAAACUGGGUCUAAUUCCCGAUAGGACUGCAGGGUGGUGCCUGUGGUGGAAAACGAUUUUCUAGUGGUUGGGGAUGAGCUCGCGGCCUAUCAGCUUGUUGGUGGGGUAAUGGCCUACCAAGGCGGCGACGGGUAGCCGGCCUGAGAGGGUGGACGGCCACAGUGGGACUGAGAUACGGCCCAGACUCCUACGGGAGGCAGCAGUGGGGAAUAUUGCACAAUGGGCGGAAGCCUGAUGCAGCGACGCCGCGUGGGGGAUGACGGCCUUCGGGUGGUAAACUCCUUUCGACCGCGAGGAAGCCACCUGGUUGGAAGGGUGGUGACGGUAGUGGUAGAAGAAGCACCGGCUAACUACGUG